rnacentral:misc_RNA from 1 species
AAAGAUCGUAACUACGGUUACCUUCU